UUCCUCACUCUCCUCCAUUUUCUCAGACAAUUAGGGCGAAGGGCUGUUUCCGCCUCCCUGCUGCUGCCUCCGCCUCAUUGUUCUCAAUAGGCUGGUUUCAUUUAGUUAUUAUGCACACAGCAACAUGGGGGAAGGUGCCAAUUCCACAGUUAUGCACACAGCAACAUGGGGAAAGGUGCCAAUUCCACAGUUAUUAUGCACACAGCAACAUGGGGAAAGGUGCCAAUUCCACAGUUAUUAUGCACAUAGCAACAUGGGGAAAGGUGCCAAUUCCACAGUUAUUAUGCACAUAGCAACAUGGGGAAAGGUGCCAAUUCCACAGUUAUUAUGCACAUAGCAACAUGGGGAAAGGUGCCAAUUCCACAGUUAUGCACAUAGCAACAUGGGGAAAGGUGCCAAUUCCACAGUUAUGCACAUAGCAACAUGGGGAAAGGUGCCAAUUCCACAGUUAUGCACACAGCAACAUGGGGAAAGGUGCCAAUUCCACAGUUAUUAUGCACACAGCAACAUGGGGAAAGGUGCCAAUUCCACAGUUAUUAAGCUUUGCACACACUUGGCAUUCUCAUUCACUGGUAGUGUAUAACGUGAA